rnacentral:lncRNA from 1 species
GCGGGUUUUCACUAGUCUUACCGAGUUCUCCAGGGAGGAAGGACAGCUUGCUAUGGGAACAUGAACAAAGGCCCCCAAGUAAGGGGAAGAGAGGGCAGGGAGACUUGCAAAGAUCGCAGUGCCCACCUGUGUCCUUGCUGGGUUUCCACUUGGGGCCUACGUCCUGGCAUUUCCUGUCCAGACACACCGAAGAAGGCUCAAAUAUCCAGUCUGCAAGCCUUCGUUUGCUUCCUUUCCACCAUAUUUGGGUGUGUCCCAAAGUAGUUUCCUUGAUCUUGCUAAUCACCAAAAUCCUCUGGAGACCUUUCUGAACACAUCAAAUUGUACAUCACUGUCCAGAC